rnacentral:rRNA from 1 species
CACCAGACUCCUACGGGAGGCAGCAGUGGGGAAUAUUGCACAAUGGGGGAAACCCUGAUGCAGCGACGCCGCGUGAGUGAAGAAGUAUUUCGGUAUGUAAAGCUCUAUCAGCAGGAAAGAAAAUGACGGUACCUGACUAAGAAGCCCCGGCUAACUACGUGCCAGCAGCCGCGGUAAUACGUAGGGGGCAAGCGUUAUCCGGAUUUACUGGGUGUAAAGGGAGCGUAGACGGUGAAGCAAGUCUGAAGUGAAAGGCGGGGGCUCAACCCCCGGACUGCUUUGGAAACUGUUUGACUGGAGUGCAGGAGAGGUAAGUGGAAUUCCUAGUGUAGCGGUGAAAUGCGUAGAUAUUAGGAAGAACACCGGUGGCGAAGGCGGCUUGCUGGACUGUAACUGACGCUGAGUCACGAAAGCGUGGGGAGCGAACAGGAUUAGAUACCCCGGUACCU